GGCGAACGGGUGAGUAACACGUGGGUGAUCUGCCCUGCACUUCGGGAUAAGCCUGGGAAACUGGGUCUAAUACCGGAUAGGACGAUGGUUUGGAUGCCAUUGUGGAAAGUUUUUCGGUGUGGGAUGAGCUCGCGGCCUAUCAGCUUGUUGGUGGGGUAAUGGCCUACCAAGGCGUCGACGGGUAGCCGGCCUGAGACGGGUGUACGGCCACAUUGGGACUGAGAUACGGCCAG
rnacentral:rRNA from 1 species